CAGGGGGGGAGGGUGUAACCCUGGAGAGUUACUAAGGGUUUUAGUGUGUUAUGAGUGAUGUUAGUAUUUUGAGUUCACUGUUAAGUUUUGUUAAGUUAAAUCAUUUUGUUGAGAAUUAAUAAAAUAGAAGAUGUCUAUAUGUCCUGAUGGUCCUUGAAGUAUACGAUGUCUAUAAUGUCCUGAUGGUCCUUGAAGUAUACAGGGGGAAGUACCGCCUCCUGCCGUUCACUGCGUAGUGAAAGAGGGAGAGGAAGAAAAAGUCCGUUUUUCCAAGUGGAAAGCGUGGUUCCUUUAUUCAGUCGGAUUGUUCGGUGGAAAUAGACUAUCUAGACUUUGUUGUUGACCAGAAAGGAGCUUGUUACUGCUCGGAUUCUUCUGGUUGUGCUACAACGCUUCACCAUCGCCAUUUUGAAGCUCCAGGAGAGCCCAUUUUAUUGGUUACUUUGGUCAGGUUUUUUUGUUGGGAGUACAGUUCGGUGAUGAUCCAGUCCAAAGAUGGCGAGCCACCCCUCCAGGAUCCUUAAGAUGAUUGUUU